rnacentral:rRNA from 1 species
CCUACGGGAGGCAGCAGUGGGGGAUAUUGCACAAUGGGGGCAACCCUGAUGCAGCGACGCCGCGUGAGUGAAGAAGUAUUUCGGUAUGUAAAGCCCUAUCAGCAGGGAAGAAAAUGACAGUACCUGACCAAGAAGCCCCGUCUAACUACGUGCCAGCAGCCGCGGCCAUACGUAGGGGGCCAGCGUUAUCCGGAUUUACUGGGUGUAAAGGGGGCGUAGACGGUUAUGUAAGUCUGGAGUGAAAGCCCGGGGCUCAACCCCGGGACUGCUUUGGAAACUGUGUAACUGGAGUACAGGAGGGGUAGGCGGAAUACGUGGUGGAGCGGUGAAAUGCGUAGAUAUGAGGAAGAACACCGGCGGCGAAGGCGGCCUGCUGGACUGAAACUGACGUUGAGGCUCGAAAGCGUGGGGAGCAAACAGGAUUAGAUACCCCAGUAGUC